CAAGUCUUUCUGCUACCAUCCGUAAUAAAUGCGCGUUAAAGAAAAAAUGCGGCAUGUUUUAAUAAAGCAAAGCUUUCCCUCGCCAAAACGCCGGUUUAGCGGAAAGCAUCCUCGCCGGCACGCCUAUUACAACGGUUCAGUGCCACAUCUCAGGACUGACACUAGGGGCACGAUGCUGAAUGUGAUGGUGUCACUUCAGCAUUAAAAGGCAUGAAUUGUUUUCCUCAUGUAUAUGAAGACUUAUAUACCAAAGGUCACCACGACUGCAAACUCACGGCACAGUUUCUUGUACUAUUUAUGACAACGGAAUUUCAGUAGAGAAUCUCAGGAAAGGAGGGGAAAUCCCGCUCUGCUCUUCCGCUGCGUGCAUAAAGGCCUGCAGAUGUCCAUCAGCACGGCCCAGACAAGGCCGCCUUGCUACCCUCUCACAGCUGUCCCCCAGACCUUUAUAGCAGAGCUGCCCCAGGCAGGGUGGAGCGCACGGCUUUUUUAGUCACAUGAUCAUCAGCGGUCCAUUUCCCACUAUGGCAGCCCAUUCGGAGGACAGAAUGAACUCCGUUUAUACCAAUACAAACUUGCCACACGUGUAGAUUAUGUCUUUUCCAUCAAGCACACACAAAAAAAUAGGCUGACCGAUUUUGGAAAAAGAAAAGAAAAAAGGCUCGCAGGCAACCUUCUCUGUUUCCAGGGCAGUGAUAAACAUCAAAGACUCCUAUCUGAUUUCCCCGUGCCAGGCAUCUGGAGUUUUCAGGUCGAGGGACUUUUCAAAGCUGGCCCAUAAUUUUAACCCCCACUUCCCAUGUGAUGAGAAACAAAGCCAGCGCAGUGAUCGGCAGAGAAGGAGCCGGUCCGAGGUCUCGGACGCUAAGUGGCCUAUAGCUAAUGCAGAGGCCUGGUGACUGCCCCAGGGCACUGAUUAAUACAGCUGACUUGUAAAAGGGACAAAGCUGAAA